rnacentral:rRNA from 1 species
CCUACGGGUCGCACCAGUGGGGAAUAUUGCACAAUGGGCGAAAGCCUGAUGCAGCGACGCCGCGUGAGGGAUGACGGCCUUCGGGUUGUAAACCUCUUUCAGCAGGGACGAAGCGCAAGUGACGGUACCUGCAGAAGAAGCACCGGCUAACUACGUGCCAGCAGCCGCGGUAAUACGUAGGGUGCAAGCGUUGUCCGGAAUUACUGGGCGUAAAGAGUUCGUAGGCGGUUUGUCGCGUCGUUUGUGAAAACCAGCAGCUCAACUGCUGGCUUGCAGGCGAUACGGGCAGACUUGAGUACUGCAGGGGAGACUGGAAUUCCUGGUGUAGCGGUGAAAUGCGCAGAUAUCAGGAGGAGCACCGGUGGCGAAGGCGGGUCUCUGGGCAGUAACUGACGCUGAGGAACGAAAGCGCGGGUAGCGAACAGGAUUAGAUACCCGCGUAGUC